CUAAGGUAUCAAAACUACUGAAAUUUUCUUGCGACACAAUAUUUUGAAUAAAAAGAGGACAUGCUGGCAAUCUAGAUUGAUGGGGACAAAUUUUUGUUGUCAUUGUGUUGCAAUGUUGCUGUCAUUUGUAUUAUGCAAUCCAUUCUGACAACAAACUAUUGCUGAUUUACUAUGCGGCUAUAUAGAUUUACAUAAUAAAAUGCAAAUAUGGUCAGUUUUGGUUGAUUUGUUUAAAUAAUUUUGUUAUACGAGUCAGCCUGAGGUAUCAAAACUACUGAAAUUUUGUUGCGAGACAAUAUUUUGAAUAAAAAGAGGACAUGCUGGCUAUCUAGAUUGAUGGGGACAAAUUUUUGUUGUCAUUGUAUUGCAAUGUUGCUGUCAUUUGUAUUAUACAAUCCAUCCUGACAUCAAAAUAUUGCUGAUUUACUAUGCGGCUAUAUAGAUUUACAUAAUAAAGUGCAAAUAUGGUCAGUUUUGGUUGAUACUUUAAAAUAGUUUUGUUAUAUGAGUCAGCCUGAGGUAUCAAAACUACUGAAAUUUUCUUGCGACACAAUAUUUUGAAUAAAAAGAGGACAUGCUGGCAAUCUAGAUUGAUGGGGACAAAUUUUUGUUGUCAUUGUGUUGCAAUGUUGCUGUCAUUUGUAUUAUGCAAUCCAUUCUGACAACAAACUAUUGCUGAUUUACUAUGCGGCUAUAUAGAUUUACAUAAUAAAAUGCAAAUAUGGUCAGUUUUGGUUGAUUUGUUUAAAUAAUUUUGUUAUACGAGUCAGCCUGAGGUAUCAAAACUACUGAAAUUUUGUUGCGAGACAAUAUUUUGAAUAAAAAGAGGACAUGCUGGCUAUCUAGAUUGAUGGGGACAAAUUUUUGUUGUCAUUGUAUUGCAAUGUUGCUGUCAUUUGUAUUAUACAAUCCAUCCUGACAUCAAAAUAUUGCUGAUUUACUAUGCGGCUAUAUAGAUUUACAUAAUAAAGUGCAAAUAUGGUCAGUUUUGGUUGAUACUUUAAAAUAGUUUUGUUAUAUGAGUCAGCCUGAGGUAUCAAAACUACUGAAAUUUUCAUGUGACACAAUAUUUUGAAUAAAAAGAGGACAUGCUGGCAAUCUAGAUUGAUGGGGACAAAUUUUUGUUGUCAUUGUGUUGCAAUGUUGCUGUCAUUUGUAUUAUACAAUCCAUUCUGACAACAAAAUAUUGCUGAUUUACUAUGCGGCUAUAUAGAUUUACAUGAUAAUAAAAUGCAAAUAUGGUCAGUUUUGGUUGAUUCGUUUAA